rnacentral:rRNA from 1 species
UACGAAGGGUGCAAACGUUGCUCGGAAUCAUUGGGCGUAAAGCGCACGUAGGCGGCCUCAAAAGUCGGAUGUGAAAUCCCGUGGCUCAACCAUGGACGUGCAUUCGAAACUGCGAGGCUUGAGUAUGGAAGAGGGUCGCGGAAUUCCCGGUGUAGAGGUGAAAUUCGUAGAUAUCGGGAGGAACACCAGUGGCGAAGGCGGAACUCUGGGCCGGAACUGACGCUGAGGAGCGAAAGCGUGGGGAGCGAACAGG